GCAGUAAAGAAGCCGACUAAAACCUACCAAAACCAAGAUGGCCAUGAAGAGUGACCUUUGGUCAUUCUCACUGCUACACUCUCACCAGUGCCAAGACAGUUUACAAAUGCCAUGGCAAUGACAGGAAGUUCCCCUAUAUGGUCUAAAAAGGGGAGGCAUGAAUAAUCCACUCCUUGUUUAGCAUAUCAUCAAGAAAUAACCAUAAAAAUGGGUAACCAGCAGCCCUUGUGGCUGCUCUGUCUAUGGAGUAGCCAUUCUUUUAUUCCUCUACUUUCUUAACAAACUUGCUUUUGCUUUGCACUGUGGACUCUCCCUGAAUUUUUUCUUGCCCAAGAUCCAAGAACCUUCUCUUGGGGUCUGGAUCAGGACCGCUUUCCUGUAACAUCUUUCUGGCAACCACAAAGGGAUGAUACUGAAGAGACCCCCUAAUCUCAACUGAAAAUCAUCUGCUUGCACCAAUUUUGGCUGACUUUGGGCCUCCAGACCUGGGCUGAAUUACAUCACCAGCUUUCCUGAUUCUUCAGCUUGCAGAUGGCAGAUUAGGGAACUUCUCAGUCUCCAUAAUCAUGUCAGCUGGGGCUCUGCUCUGCAUCUUCCUCCCUCUGGAACCCUAGCUGAGUGAGUGGUCACUAUCUGGAACAUUGCUGGCCAUUGUGACAGAGGGGGCACUGAGCUCUGGAGGGUUUCACACAGCAGGUCCUAAAACCUAGGAAGACUUUUCUGACCUUCCCCUGAAGCAGGCCUAAGACCCUCCUGUGAGAGACCAGGCUGGGCGAUACAGCGAGACCCUGCCUCGAAAACACCAUCACCACCACCACCACAAACAGCAGCAAAACCCCACCCAGGUUUAAUUACUUCUUCAGGGGUUCCAGACAAUGAACCUAAGAUAGAUAGAAGGAAAAGAUAAGUUGCCUCCCCUAUGAAGGCUAAGGCAACAUGUUGAGCCAAGAUACACCAGAUUCUAGAACCUGAGCAUUUAGCUUCAACCUCUUGGGGUUAUCUCCAGCCUCCAACUGGUGGGGGGUCAGCCCCUGAACCAAAGGUUUGUGUUUCCAAGAUUUCUGUCAAUGUACUGGUCACAGGGAUGGGCUCAGGCAGCUGUGGGUGGAGGAGAAGCAGAGAGGAGAGUGGGCAAUGGUGGCCCCAAAUGUGGUCCAGAAAUGGUUCCUGCUGGAGGUUACAGGAGAGGACAGGGUGAAUGGAUGAGUCAGACUACCAGUAUCACUUGGGGCUCAAAUAUAGCAUGUGAGAGUCCCUGCCUUUGCCACACUAGACAAGGGGGUUUGGCUCAAAAUAGCACAGAGGGGGGUUCUGUAGCAGUGAGAGAAAUCUAGCAUAGUUGACUCCAUCUUGCUUCUAACCCCCAAGCAAACUGCCUUUGCUCAUUCCUGCAUGUAGGCCCAGCUAACUAUGGGAGGAAUUUAGUGUAUAGCUUAACUUUAAAGCAAGGAUGAUAAUAGGGCCUUCCCCAAACUAACCCCUGAGGAGAUAAGAAGGGCAUACACCCAAGAACAAUGUUAUGCUAAAGACUUGUAGGAGUGCUGUGACCUGAACAAAGAAAAAGAAGUUAUGAAACUCCCUCAGACUCUUGCUGACACCCAGAUGUCUGUGGUCACCUGUCACCUCCUGACCUUAACCCCCUCCUUGUUCCCUUUACCCAAUAUAAAAAGAAGCUUGAGAUUCAUACCUUUGAAGAUGGUCCUUUAGGACACCAGUCUGCCAUCUUCUCAGUUUGCUGGCUUCCUGAAAUAAAGUCACUUUCCUUUAUUUGGAAAGAAUAGUUGAGUAUGUCUUGUCUUAUUGGCUGUUGUGAGACGAGUGGUAUGAGCUUUGGAUUUGGCUACGGUUCCAGAAUGAACUCUGGUGUUGGGCAGAGCUGGCUCACUUACCAGAUCUGGUGCAAAGCCCUUAAUCCGAGCCUUAGUUUCCUCUGUAAAGUAGGGAUGAUAAUAAUAUACAUCUUGUAGGAUUAUUGUGAGGAUUAAAUGAAAUAAUGUGGUAAAGCAUUUAGCACAGCACCUGAUACACAUGAAGUGUUCCAUAAAUGGUGUCUAGAAUAACGUAGUAGCAAUCAUAAAAUAAAAACAACCACAAAAACCAGCUACUAAUGGUUUCCUGAUCUCUCUCACACAGUAAAUAAAUCCUUGUGUGAAA
rnacentral:lncRNA from 10 species